AGUAUAAAUUGUAAUAGUAGAUCUACUAAUCUUUUCACAGGGUUAGCAGAUGGAGAACGCCUAGAAAAACCCUCAGAUCCUCUUCCAGUGAGAGGAAGGAAUCUCAGUUCCUUACAUCAUUAGCUGCUGGACAUCUUUGUCAGUCAUUUAAAGAGUGAAAUUAUGAGUGACCUAUAUACAUGUAUUUUGACAUUUCCAAGAGAGGAAAAAAGGUGCACCUCAAGCCUUUGGUCUGGAGAAGGGUUCAUGAGCACUGCAUCCUAAAGUUUAAGAAGAAGAAAGGUUAAUACAGGAAAAGAGAACGUUGCUGUCUUUUGCCAAAUCACAGGGAAGAAACAUACUUUCUACAUCUGGAAUCCAGACGUCUCUUCUAUUUGGAAUAAUACACUGUUUUGGUGAUAUACCAGCUAGGGACAGAGCAAACUGGAAGUCAUACAGCUUUGUCAUCAAUGGGAGCAUACCAUGUUAGUAAGUCUUUUUAGUUUGUUUUUUUUUUCUUCUUCUUCUUCUUCUUUGAAUGAUAUUA